GAUUGUCUCUAUGUUCGGUAUGUAUCACCAUUCGGGAGUUAUUGAAUUUCCUGUACCUAAGAGUCUCGGUGUUUGUUGGCCAAUCUCGCGGCUUCGUUGAGGUCAUUGGGACGUUGGUCUUUUAACCAUUCUCUGUCUUUCUGCUCUAGUCCAUCAUAGAAAUGUUCUAACAAAAAUAGUUACAAAAUCUCGACUGCAACAUCCGUUAAUCCAAUGAGUAGCAGCCCACCGCAUUCGGUGCGCCCAUUCGGCAAGUGUGUAAUUCGGCUUCUUUUUCGUGUUGCGGAACUGCCUGCGAUAGGUGUCGGGGGGUCACCGCGUACUGCCUCAGCAGAGUGUCUUUUACUAGCGAGUAUUGGGCCACCUCUUCAGUGCUGAGAGUCCUAAAGGCUUCCAUCGCUUUCCCUGCUAGCUUCCCCGCAAAAAUAUGAGGCCAUUUGUGGCAAACCUAGCCACUUUAGAUUGUGCAGUUAUAUGUCUAAAGGUUGUCCUAGAAAGCUGGUCCAAUUCUGUUCGUUUCAGUAUUUACUUAUCCUUGUAAUAGAAAGCAUUCGUAUUCUAGCGGCCGAAAGCUGCUAGCAUUCAUAUGAUAGUUUCGCGAACAGUGACUUUCCACACUGUCAUGUGGCUCCCAUUAACCGAUUGCAACAUUGGAGCAAUCAGCUGCUAAUGGAUUUCCCGGGUGGCCGUCGUUUGGCUACCGACCACGAGGCAGCGGCCAUCUUGGAUUUCCCUUUUGCCCAGCAGUGUUUAGUCGUCGAGUGCCUGGAACUAAAAUCGGCCACUUGACGGCACGAACACCGCUGGACUUCCAAACCUUUCGGGAGCGCCGGUCUUUCGGUACUUUUCCCCAAUUGUAUAUUCGUGACUUUUAUGAUGAAUGUAUAUUAAAGUGUGUUUCGUGCGGCGUUCGGUUAUUUAUGCUGGGAUCUGAGUGGUACUUUCACAAAGUGUGCGCUCAGACCCCAGCUAUCUGCCGAACGAUCAUUUGGUACAAUAGCACAAAUAAAAUUUAAGUUACUGAUUUUUAUGUGAAAAGACGGUUCUGCUGUACGGAGGGAUAAUCCACUUAACAGGAGGGUUUUGGAUAUUGCCUUCAUUUUCAGCGCUUUACUUGAAUUAACACAAAAAUAUAUAACUUUAACAUUAUUUGUGUGAUUCUACUAAAUGACCGUUCGGUAGAUAGCUGGGGUCUGAGCGCACACUUCGUGAAAGUACCGCUCAGAUCCCAGCACAAAUAACCAAACGCUGCACGAAACACACUUUAUUAUACAUUCUCAUUAAAAAAUACUGAGGGAAUAAAGGGAAUAAGGCCGAUUUUAGUUCCAGGUGCUCGACGACCAAACACCACUGAGCUAACAAAGGAUCCAAGAUGGCCGACCGCCGCGUGGUCGGUAGCCCAACGACGGCCACCCAGGAAAGCACUUAACCACCGAUUGCUACAAUGUUGCAAUCGGUUAAUGGGAGCCACACGACCCUCUGUGUGUGGACUCCCAUUCGGUACUUUUAUUUGUUUCACGAACAGUGUGUAAAGUCACUGUUCGUGAAACUACCAUAUGAAUGCUAGAGGCUUUCGGCCGUUAGCAUACGAAUACUCUCUAUUGCAAAAAUACACAAAUACAUCCAUACACACAAUAAAAGCAGCUUUUACAGACAACCUUCAGAUGUUACACAGUAGUACCUAAAGUGGCUAGGUUUGCCACAGGUCUGUAAAUGUUACUACUAGACAGCUGGUAGUACCCCAGAAAUAUCGACAGGAACUCCUUAGGAUCGCUCAUGACAUUCCGUUGUCUGGGCAUCUGGGUAUGACCCGAACUAGAUACCGACUUACCCAUGCAUUUUUCUGUGAGGCAAUACUGCCAGACGUGUGACAUCUGUCAGAGAGUAGGCAAAAGGUGUGACCGACACAAGGCCAAAUUAUGCCCGCUACCCAUCAUAGAAGAGCCGUUUAGUAGGGUGGCCGUAGAUAUAGUAGGACCCUUACCCAAACCCAGUCCCUCUGGCAAAAUACCCCGAGGCAGUAGCCCUCUCUAAUAUCCACGCCGAGACGGUGGUCGAAGCCUUAAUGAAAGCCUUCUCCCGGGUGGGGUUCCCCCAGGAGAUAAUCUCAGAUAGGUGUACGCAAAUCACGGCCGAAGUAACCCACCAACUAUGGAAAAUAUGUGGCAUUAAGCCUAUUGUUAAUUCUGCUUACCAUCCACAGUGUAAUGGGUUAUGUGAAAGGUUCAAUGGAACUUUAAAGCAGAUGCUCCGUACAUUUGGAGAGGCCCAUAAGGACUGGGAGUGAUUCUUACCCCAUCUGCUGUUCGCCUACAGAGAGGUACCUCAAGAGUCCACCGGGUUUUCCCCCUUUGAAUUACUGUUUGGGAGAAGGGUGAGAGGACUCCUAGAGUUAAUUAGAGAACAUUGGGAAGGGGAAAGCAGUGCAGGUACCCAUUGUACCAUUUGUGCUGGAGUUCAGGGACCGCCUGGAGGCACUAACCCACACCGUACGGGUAAACCACCAAGCGGCUCAACAACGGCUGCGCCGAUGGUAUGAUAGGGGAGCCAGGGAUUGCAGCUUUCAAGUGGGACAAAAAGUUUUGAUUUUAAAACCUGUCCGCAAUGACAAGCUGCAGGCCGCCUGGCAAGGCCCCUACAGGGUGGUGGAACAGAGAUGUGACACCACCUAUGUAAUUGGCCCCUGCUCGGGUAGGGAAGAGACGUAUGCUCCACGUGAAUAUGCUCAAACCCUACCAUGAGAGGAUAGUGGAUGUGGCAGCUAUAUGUGCAUCAGCCUCUGAGGAUCAGGAGAAUCUUCCGCUACCCGAUUUAUUAGAGCGAGAAGAUAAGGCAGAGACCUCUACAGGUGUUCAGCUGGGGGAGCGGCUAAGUCUUCAUGAGCGUGCCCAGGUACAGGAGUUAAUUGCGACUAAGGGAGCCACUUUCUCCAAUUUACCAGGGUACACCCUCACCGGGUAGAGACCCCAUUAGAGCUACCUAUGCGGCAGACCCCAUAUCGUAUCCUGGAAGCAGUCAGGGAACAUAUGAGAAAGGAAAUUGAGGAGAUGUUGCAGCUAGGGGUUAUUGAACAUUCCGAUAGCCACUGGGCAUCGCCGGUAGUGCUAGUUCCCAAGAAUGAUGGCACAAAACAGUUCUGUGUUGACUACCAGAGGCUAAAUGACAAGAGAGUGUCUGAUGCCUACCCGAUUCACCGGAUAGACGAGCUGCUAGAUAAGAUGGCACGAGGCCAGUACUUCACUAUGAUAGACUUAUGCAAAGGGUACUGGCAGAUUCCUUUAGCCGAGGUUGCCAUUCAGGAUGAAAAAUGCUCCGGCUACUUUUCAAAGGAUGGUAGAUCGGCUACUGGAUGGGUUCCAGGAGUAUGCAUGUGCAUACCUGGACGAUAUCGCCAUAUAUUGCCAGACGUGGUCAGACCACCUGCGACAUAUUGUAGCUGUCAUUGACCGUAUUGGAGAGGCAGGGUUGACGCUAAAACCCUGCAAGUGUCAUAUAGGGAUGGCAGAGGGACAGUACCUUGGGCACAGGGUAGGGAGUGGGCAGCAAAAAAAGGAACCAGCCAAAAUAGAGGCUGUAGCUAAGGUGCCUACCCCCGGACAAAAACCCAAGUGUUAGUCUUCCUGGGUACCGCAGGAUUUUACCGGAAGUUCGUACCCAAAUACAGUGCCCUGGUCAAACCCCUGACUGACUUGACCUGCAAAAAUCUUCCUCGACAGGUCAUCUGGGCCCCAGAGUGUGAUCAGGCAUUUCAACAACUCAAGACUGCUUUAAACAAUGCACCUGUACUUGCUGCUCCCGAUCCAACUAAACGAUUUCUUGUCCACACAGACGCUUCAGUGUUUGGAUUGGGAGCAGUGCUGAGCCAAGUUGGAGCAGAUGGCGGAGAACAUCCCGCAGCUUACUUAAGCAGAAAGUUAUUGCCACGUGAAGAAAGCUACGCCACCAUUGAGAAAGAAUGCCUGGCCGUGGUGUUGGCCCUCAAAAAGCUACAGCCUUAUUUAUAUGGACAACCUUUCUCCUUACACACAGAUCACAACCCAUUGGUGUGGCUGAACCGUAUGGCUCGGGACAAUGCCAGGCUGCUGCGCUGGAGUUUGUCGCUGCAGCCUUUUGACUUUACUAUUCAUUACCGCCCAGGGAAGCUAAAUGGUAACGCUGACAGGUUAUCCAGACAAACUGAACUUAAAAAGUGAUCUGUGAGUACUCCUCCGGACAUCCCCAAGCCGAUCCGUUGGGAUCAGACUGUGUAUGCUGGCUUGGUUCUGGGGGAGCAUUGUGGCAAACCUAGCCACUUUAGAUUGUGCAGUUAUAUGUCUAAAGGUUGUCCUAGAAAGCUGGUCCAAUUCUGUUCGUUUCUGUAUUUACUUAUCCUUGUAAUAUUGAGCAUUCAUAUGGUAGUUUCACGAACAGUGACUUUCCACACUGUUCGUGAAACGAAUAAAGUACCGAAUGGGAGCCCACACACAGGGGGUCGUGUGGCUCCCAUUAACCGAUUGCAACAUUGUAGCAAUCUGCUGCUAAUGGAUUUCCCGGGUGGCCGUCGUUCGGCUACCGACCACGAGGCGGCGGCCAUCUUGGAUUUCCCUUUUGCCCGGCGGUGUUUGGUCGUUGAGUGCCUGGAACUAAAAUCGGCUACUCGACGGCACGAACACCGCUGGACUUCCAGGCCGUUCGGGAGCGCCGGUCUUUCGGUACUUUUUCCCCAAUUGUAUAUUCGUGACUUUUAUGAUGAAUGUAUAUUAAAGUGUGUUUCGUGCAGCGUUCAGUUAUUUAUGCUGGGAUCUGAGCGGUACUUUCACAAAGUGUGCGCUCAGACCCCAGCUAUCUGCCGAACGGUCAUUCGGUACAAUAGCACGAAUAAAAUAUAAGUUACUGAUUUUUGUGUGAAAAGCCGGUUCUGUUGUAUGGAGGGAUAAUCCACUUAACAGGAUAUUCUCAUGGGAGUAUCCCUCUUGUACAGCAGUGCAUGGUGGCAGAAAUGUCCUGCAUAUUCAGUUCCCCAUGUAGUCCCCUACUGUACAACCCCUGUAAAGUAAUUAAGGAAAUCCCUUGCAUGGGGAAUCACAUAAAUACUGGAGCUUGUGAAUAAAAUCGUCAGUUGACUCCCAGAA